rnacentral:lncRNA from 1 species
AGAGAUCUGAGAGUUCUCGGAAAAUGUUUAAAGUCACCAGCCAAGACUGGAGCAUGCAGGUGGUACUAAUAGGCGCUGGCUCCAGAUUUUGUUGAGAUGAUCAAGAGGAAGCCUAAUCCAAUGCCUCAUAUUGCUUUGGGAUUCCUUAUCGAAGGAGAUCCUUGGAGAGCUCCCAGAUGUGGCCGUCUGAAGAGUGUCACAUUGUCUACAGUUGUACCUGCCAGAGGUAGGCCAGGCCAUCUUUGGAGGGGCCAUGAACAUACUGUAAGGCUCUUAGGCUAUUCGCAAAGUGGUGUGUUACUUGCAGAUCGACUGGGAUAAGCUAAAGGUGAAUAGUACAAAUACUAGACAAACCACUAAAAUAGCAAGUUAUUUUAUAGCUAAUAAUCCAAAAAGAGGAUAAAAAGGAAUUACAACGAACAGUCCAAAAGAAGGCAGAAAAAAAAAAAAAAGAGAAGAACAGAUAGGACAAAUAGAAAAUAAAAUGGAGAUAAUAUAUUUAAUCUAACAAUGUAAACUAUCACAUUACAUAUAAAUACAGACACAACAGUUAAAGGAAGAGAUUGUCAUGUUGGCUAAAAAAGCUCAACCCCAACUUUAUGCUCCUACAGAAAACACACUUUAAAAACAAAGACACAAAUAGUUUGAAAGUAAAAGGAUGGAAAAAGAUACACCAGGCUAACCCAAGUCAGAAGAAAGCUGAAGGAGCUACGUUAAUAUCAGACAGAAUAGGAAGUUUGCAUUGUGCCUCAGUAGUAAUGAGCCUGGCUAGUGUACCCAUGAGGAUGUUGGUUUGAUCCCUGGCCUUGCUCUGUGGGUUAAGGAUCUGGCAUUGCCAUGAGCUGUGGUUUAGUUCACAGGCGUGGCUCGGAUAUGACAUUCCUGUGGCUGUUUCAUAGGACUGUGGCUACACCUCCAAUUUGAUCCCUAGCCAGGGAACUUCCAUAUGCCACAGGUGUAUCCCUAAAAAGCAAAACACACACACAUAAACCCAAAAUAUAUUUCAGAACAAAGAAUAAUUAUUAGGAAUAAAGACCAUUCCAUAAUGAUAGAGGACAGUCUAUCAGGAGGAUGUAACUGUGUAAGUUUAUUCACCUAGUAGCUGAGCAUUAAAAUUUAUAAAGAAAAAACUCAUGUAACAACAAGGAAAACAAGUAAAUUCACAGUUAUAGGUGGAACUUUCAGUUCCCUCUCUUAAUUAAUAGAACAGUUAGCAAGG